rnacentral:rRNA from 1 species
CGUAACACGUGUGCAACCUGCCUUUAUCAGGAGGAUAGCCUUUCGAAAGGGAAGAUUAAUACUCCAUAAUAUAUUAAUUGGCAUCAAUUGAUAUUGAAAACUCCGGUGGAUAAAGAUGGGCACGCGCAAGAUUAGAUAGUUGGUGAGGUAACGGCUCACCAAGUCGAUGAUCUUUAGGGGGCCUGAGAGGGUGAUCCCCCACACUGGUACUGAGACACGGACCAGACUCCUACGGGAGGCAGCAGUGAGGAAUAUUGGACAAUGGGGUUAGCGCCUGAUCCAGCCAUCCCGCGUGAAGGAUUAAGGACCUAUGGUUUGUAAACUUCUUUUGUACAGGGAUAAACCUACCCUCGUGAGGGUAGCUGAAGGUACUGUACGAAUAAGCACCGGCUAACUCCGUG